GGGUGCCACAUAGAAUAGGCGAGGGGAGGAUCGCGCCGCCUCCUCCUCUCCCACUCACCGCCGCGGCGUGAGAGGUUGAAGACGGAUGUGUGGUGGAUGCGCGGCAGCAGGCAGGCCCACCAGCCGCCGCCGAUGGCGCGGGGCCUCCACCGCAGAUGAGGGACCCGCACGAGGACGACCUCGAGGAGUACCGUUCAGGGGCUGCGUGCGCAGUCCCGCGGCUGCUGCAUGCAGGAGGAAGAGAAGAAAGUGCUCUGCCGAGGCCCGAAGCUGGUUUAGGGCGGGUUGAGCGGGUCUAGCUCCGGAAGUCCGAAAACACCUUAGGAGCAAGUCGAGAGGCGGAGAUGGUCUAGGUGCGACUCCCCGAAGCCGCGGUAGGGGGCCACACUAAAGGAGUACCCAGGGCCGAACUAGCUCCGGUUUUCGAAGCCGGCAGGCAGGUGGUACCGACCCUGGACGCGCCUUUGACAUCUACUUAAAUAUGCUCACCUUAGCUGUGACACCGUCCCAUGCCACCUCAGUGUAACACGCCGGAGCCAUAGGGUUAGUCCCUAAGGAAGAUUCCUACGUAUAUAAAACUUCCCACUCCCUAUUACUAAACCAAUUUCCGGAAGCCGGAGAACGAAGUGACUUGUAAACACAGGUAGCUGGUUCAACAUAUAUGCCCUCUUCUAUUCGUUCAGGUUUCACUACAAGAUCGACCCGGAGUUGUGGAACAGGGAGACUGGUGUUGCGGGUUGGUACUAGACCAGUCGUUGGUUAACAUUGUGAUACGGAUCCAAGACUAAUAUAGAUGAACUACGUCUAGUGUACUCGUCUCCCCAAGUCGUUGAGAAUGAUGAGGACCGACACUUUCGAAGACGAAUAUUCAGUAGAGGUCAUGGACGAAUAGGUACCAGAAAAACUCGGUAGGUUUAACGUUUUGCGUUCAGUGGUUGUGGUUCUUAGUCCAAGGACGGUCUCCUUGGGUUUCAUCUUGUUCUCUUCCUUUUGCUGCCACUUCUCCAAGACAACCUCUUUCCCGACGUAGUGUGUGAACGGCGGUUCCGGUACAACAGCUCCUCGGACACUAACGGCGAGGUCGACGGAGAGCGCGGUACCGGGUAGCGCACCCCACGUAACACUCUUAGACGUAGUCCGAGCACGGCGGAGAGGUCGUCACUACGUCGUGAGAUCCAUUAUCAAUCAUAACCACAGUUGCUCUCGUUGAUCUCAGCGAUCGACAAUACGAUUUUCGUUGUCCUACGUAGAAGAGGUACGUUCUUCUGUUAUUCCUAUUUCGUCGUUUCUCGUCCGGCAACCACCACUACCUAUUAAAGAGAUUAGUUAAUUUAGCAUCUACGGGAGGUCGUAACGUGUGAUUCUCUAACGUAACGAAUCUAUAUUACUUUCCACUGAAGUCAAAAAUUCUUUCAACUCCACAGCACUAACAAUAAAAAAAUACGUUGUUAAUGGAUUCGAACGGACCGUUCAUAUGUAAGACUUAACAUACAAGUCUACUAUAAGUGUAUAAAUCUGACUUAGCAAUUUAGAUCGUAUAAAUAAAAAGAGUGGAUUAUUAAAACUAAUACUACAUAGGGUAUCUUACGACCAAAUCUGUAAUGUUAGACCUUGGCUUAUUUAUUUUUAUCUCUCUAAGUAUAUCACCGUGAUUUCACGAUAAUUCAAUAUUAUACAAAAAUCAACGUAAGGUCAUUCUCCUUUG
rnacentral:rRNA from 1 species